rnacentral:rRNA from 1 species
GACGGAAGGUGCAAGCGUUGCUCGGAAUCACUGGGCGUAAAGGGUGCGUAGGCGGCCGUGCAAGUCUGGCGUGAAAGCCCCGGGCUCAGCCCGGGAAGUGCGCUCGAAACUGCGCGGCUCGAGUGCCGGAGGGGAGAGUGGAAUUCCUGGUGUAGCGGUGAAAUGCGUAGAUAUUGGGAGGAACACCGGUGGCGAAGGCGGCCCCCUGGACCGGUCAGCUGACGCUGAGGCGCGAAAGCGUGGGUAGCAAACGGG